UGGAGUUCCUUUGUUUUUAAUUUCCCACCCUUCCUGUUACGGUGAAGUGGAGUUGUUAGCUAAAUCUGAUCUAGCGAUGCUUGUGCGUUUUACUCUGAUACUCAGAGGCAUUGUUGGUUGGACUCAUUAACUGCAAGUUGUUCAAGUCGUGUGGCUCACGUCACCUCCUCUCCGCCACUGUUCUUCACUGCUGGUAUGCUGUGCUUGGUUUCCUCUGAACAUCAGACUAAGGAUUGAUGGGUGUGUUUGUGUAUGCGCAUACAUAUAAUAGCUUCUUAGUGAGUAACAUUUUCUCUUUGUUUCAUAUUCCUUUCAAACUAUUAUAUAAAUACCUGUUUGGCAAGUUUGGCUAAAAGAAAACUGACAAAAGGGAAAUCAUAGAGGCGAGCAAGCACAGAUUCUUGCUUCAUGCUGACAAGAGAGAGACCUGUGUGCGCGAGGAGUGAGACCUGAUAUGGGAAAUAAACGAACGAUAAUUCAAGGCGUGUGCGUACCUGCCAAACCUGAAAUGUGUAUACUGGGCUAAACAGCCCUUAGAGCAGGAAGGUUCAGGUUGAGCUCAAUGAACAGACCACACGGUGGAGGAUUCUUCCUCUCAUUGGGUCGGGGAGCGAUGCUUCGCUGGGUCGUGCUUGCUUUGUUCAUCAGCCUCUGUGCCAUUGCUGAGGCACAGAAUA